AGUGAACGCUGGCGGUAGGCCUAACACAUGCAAGUCGAGCGGCAGCACAGAGGAGCUUGCUCCUUGGGUGGCGAGUGGCGGACGGGUGAGGAAUACAUCGGAAUCUACUCUGUCGUGGGGGAUAACGUAGGGAAACUUACGCUAAUACCGCAUACGACCUACGGGUGAAAGCAGGGGACCUUCGGGCCUUGCGCGAUUAAAUGAGCCGAUGUCGGAUUAGCUAGUUGGCGGGGUAAAGGCCCACCAAGGCGACGAUCCGUAGCUGGUCUGGGAGGAGGAUCAGCCACACUGGAACUGAGACACGGUCCAGACUCCUACGGGAGGCAGCAGCGGGGAAUAUUGGACAAAGGGCGCAAGCCUGAUCCAGACAUACCGCGUGGGUGAAGAAGGCCCUCGGGUUGUAAAGCCCUUUUGUUGGGAAAGAAAUCCAGCUGGCUAAUACCCGGUUGGGAUGACGGUACCCAAAGAAUAAGCACCGGCUAACUUCGUGCCAGCCGCCGCGGUAA
rnacentral:rRNA from 1 species